AACGAACGCUGGCGGCAUGCCUAACACAUGCAAGUCGAACGGGAUCCUAGCUUGCUAGGUGAGAGUGGCGGACGGGUGAGUAACACGUGGGAAUCUGCCUUUUGGUUCGGGAUAACCGCGGGAAACUGCGGCUAAUACCGAAUGCCCUCGAGAGAGGAAAGAUUUAUCGCCAGAAGAGGAGCCCGCGUCCGAUUAGGUAGUUGGUGGGGUAAAGGCCUACCAAGCCGACGAUCGGUAGCUGGUCUGAGAGGAUGAUCAGCCACACUGGGACUGAGAUACGGCCCAGACUCCUACGGGAGGCAGCAGUGGGGAAUAUUGGACAAUGGGGGCAACCCUGAUCCAGCAAUGCCGCGUGAGUGAUGAAGGCCUUAGGGUUGUAAAGCUCUUUUGCCAGGGAAGAUGAUGACUGUACCUGGAGAAUAAGCUCCGGCUAACUCCGUGCCAGCAGCCGCGGUAU
rnacentral:rRNA from 1 species